UUUGUAUGAACCAAAACACGGCUAACAAGUUUUCUCGUAUGCUUUUCAGUAUAAGAUCAUGGGAAACCUAUUCUGUUUAGUUCAAGUAGAUCAGUCCACAGUAGCCAUCAAGGAAACUUUCGGAAAAUUUGAUGAUGUUCUUGAGCCAGGUUUACAUUGUGUCCCUUGGAUUUUCGGAAGUCAGGUUGCUGGACAACUCACACUAAGACUUCAACAGUUAGAUGUCAAGUGUGAGACCAAAACAAAGGUUUUUUUUUUUUCCUCCUUUUCAAAUUAAAAUCUUUCCCAUUUGUGAUAACUUUGAAACUGAUAUAAUUUUCUUGUUUCUCUUUCAGGACAAUGUUUUUGUCAAUGUUGUAGCUUCAAUACAGUAUCGUNCUUGAAGUGUUUUCACUUUCAACAACAGCAUAUGCCAAUGGGUAGGUUCCAUUGUUGGAAUCAACACCAACUGCACUUAGUAUUUGACCUGGGAAAGGUCCCUUCAUGAAGGCUCCAUCUAAGCCUAAAAAUACUCUCAACCCUGCCUUAAAUACUUUUUGUAAAGGACCUAAACAGACAUAUAUCCUUUUGAAUUUCCUGGUUGGGGAUGAAACCACAGGUUCAGAAACUACAUCAAUCUUUACAUUUGUACCUUCGUUUGUCUUUUGUAGCUCUAGUACAUACUCUCUCAAAGGUGCGUAUUGCUUUACGUAAUCUCCUGCAACAUUUUUGGUGGCUAAUGCUUUUGCCCUAAAUGCUUUCUCUUCUGAAAUACUAACCUCAUAUGUUGAUUGGAGUUGCUCUUAUAGGGUACGAACAGGCAGGCCAAGAUUAGCUUCAAUCUGAUCCAUAAUUUGUUUGGCAAGAAAUGUUUCUGUGCAAGAUCUGAUUUUUCGUGUUUGGAGGCAGAUGUGUUUUUGAUUAUAGGUCUUAAUAAACCAAUAGUCCUGUUCACUUGACCUAGAUGGAUAAAGUUUCCAAGUGCAUUUAACUUUAUCAGAGUUUACAUCUUUACCCUUUACCUUUUUCCCAGAGGUAGGUGUUGGGUUUUGAGCAUUCUAACACUCCUAAGUGUACAUGAAACCCUAAAUACCUUGGAUCUAUGUUUUCUCUAUUACACAUGCAAAUAUGAAUAUUCCAAGGUAUUAUCCUAACUAGCAUACAAAACAUUGAUUCAUGUGGAAUAAUAUAAGUUAGAAGACAUACCUUUUGAUGUAGCUUGACUCCAUGGAGCUUAAGAGCCUAGUGCCCCAAGUGUGACACCUCAAAUGGUUCACACAACAUCAAAUGCACUUGGAAUAACUUAAAGAGAAAUGAACCACUUCAUGAAAUCGACUAGCCCUCACCAUUCCAUCAUAGUCUCUCAUGGUGGCCGAUUUUGGGAAGAAUAAGAUGCUUAUAUAGUGUGUCACAAUUAGGGUUACACCAUGUAAAGCCUAAUUGUCAUGGCCUUUCAUUUCCAUGAUCCAUGGGUACAAAAACACCAUGGAGCAUCCAUGGAGCAUCCUAUGGGUUUUAGCCUAACUUGAUAAUCCACGGAGCAUUACCCCACUAUACAAGUAUGGAUGAUUUACACAAUCAACCCAUAUAUUUAAUUAGUCUCCUUUUGAUCACUUAAUUAAUUCCAAAUUAAUUCUCGACCAAUACUAAUUAAAUAAUCUUAUUAAUAUGUUAGAACUUAUAAUAUAUUAACAAACCUUAAGCGUUAUUUCUCUCAUUUUAGUCUAUCCAAAUGCAUGAUGUCAUGCAACCCAAAUGGACCAUGCCAAUCGGGUCAAGUACAUACCAAUUAUAGUUGUGGACUUAGACACUAAUCCAACAGUAGGUCCACCUACCCCACUUGCAUGUACAACUACAGUUCCAUCACAAAUAGCUGUUAAUCUACUCUUUUCAUUUUUUGUGAAUGAGAUAUUCCUCCUUGCCUCUAAAGCAUGCAAGUCGACUUUAUCUUUCAAUUCUUUAUUGGCUUUAUAUUUCUGCCCAAUAUGAAAAGCUACCUUGUGCACCUUACCAGCAGAACAUAAUGUUUGUUUCCCCAACUCUUUGAUCAUUUCUCUUCUUUUCAUGUUGUCCCCUGAGUCAUUACUAAGUGAAUCCCACUCGUCAUUAUCAAUUACCUCCACAUCCUCUUCUUCAUCACUCUCUUCAUUUCUUUGACCACCCAAACUUUGACAUCCAGUGAACUCUGCUUCUGUAUCAAUAUUUAGAUUGAAAUCCUCCAUGUCAACUUCAACAUCUUCAAUUAUGUUGUCCUCAUUAAUCAUAAAGUCACUAUCUUCAUCUUCAUUGUUUUGAUUCUCAAACUCAAUGUCAUCAGGCUCCUCUUGUCUCCACUCAUCAUUGAAAGGAAUAUUAUCUUGGCCUUCAAACCCAUUAAAUGGGAUGCUAUCUUGGUCUUCAAACCCUUCAAAAGGUUGAAAGUUUGUCAUUAACUCAUCAUCUAUGUUGAUGUUAAUUGAAAAUUCAUUGACUCCUUGAUGAUCAUUAUCCAUGACAACUCUAUACCCCUCAUCUGUAAAUCCUUCUACAUCCUCACCAUUGGAUUUGUUCAUGUCAAGUUCUUCAUUCACAUCAAUCUCUUUGUUAACUAUUUUUCUGCAUCAACUAUAAACAAAUUCAGGAUGCAUAGGAUCAACACCCUUACCUUUAUCAACUUCACCACUUGCCAUUGUUUUUUCACCACCUUCCCAAUCCAAGUUAAGUUUUCUACUACAACACGAUGCCCCUUUACUAUGUUUCAAUCUUUAGACCUAGUAAAUUCAGUUGUUGCUGAUUUGUAUAAGGUUAAUGCUAACCCUAAAGCACCCCCACCAACAUCAAUUUGGAUUGGAGUUACCACUUUAUGAGCAACUACAGGUGAUGAGGGUCUAGGAGGAUCCUGAUUGUCCAUGUCUUCUAUUAUAACCCUUUUUGGACCAGUUUGGGACAUAAAAUAUGUAAGCAAGUUCGUUUGACCAUGCUCUAUGUACACUUUAAUCAUUUCGUUAUGGGUAACAUACUGUGAGAGAUUACGCACAUCAUCAUCAUUACCUAAUGCUCGGAGUCCAAACUCAAAUCCCUCAUUAGGCAAAUGGAAAUGGUAAUACAUGAUUUCAGUACCAUCAUACCCUAAUUCUCUCAUCAUCAAGUCUACUUCAUGAACAUAAAAUUCAUCAAUGUCGACAACAUCAAAGUACCUUACUUGCCCAUUAAUAUACCUGAUAUUUGGAAACUUUGUGAAACUCCCUCCGUGAUGGAGUUCAAUAGAGAAUAUGUUGGGGUAACCAUCUUUAAAACAUAAAGAGACGAUUGUUAGAGAAUAGUUUGAAGCUUGAUCAUCAAAUACAGAGUUUUUCAAAGUUUGAAUCAUAUCAUAAACUUCUUGAACGUUAACAUUCUUUCCAACAUUUCUAAGUCCCCACAUUUUUAAAAGCAUGAACGAAAAUCGAUUCUCAGACAAUGGUUAGGGUUUUUGCGUCUUGCUAAAUGAGGUAUGGGAGAAGACGAAGGAGUGAAGUAUUGUCUGCAAUCUUAUUAAUUGAAGUGGUGGAACGGAGGCUAGGACCUAAAAUGACCAAAAUGCCCUCACAUGGAGGGCAUGUGAUGGCAUUAAUGACUCCCAACAAACGGACUAUGACGGAAUGGACUAAAAACCCAUGAAAACCUUGAUUUUGGACCUUCAGUGCAAGUUUGAAACUUUUUGGAUCCCAUCCAAAGGUUUUUGCAAACCACAAGGACCAAAUUUGCAGUUUUGUCUAUUAGAAUUCUAUGAGUUAUAAAUUCAAAUAUUUAAGACAAUAUAGAAAUAUAUUAUUUUUUGAUUAUUUAUCCGUUUAUUUGUAUAUAAUCAAAGUUUAUCGAAUACAUAUAGAUUAACGAACUUAUUCUUAUAACCUAGAGAAUUAUAAUAUAAUUUACUACUCCAUAAUUAUUUUAAAAAAAUGCGAGAAGGUUAUAUUCGGAUUUACCAAUAAUUCGACGUCUCUAUCAAACAUAGUCAAUUUCGUCGCAAAAACUAAGCAAAACGAAGAAAAUUAGGAUGAAGGUGAAGUGUGAACGCAUCGAUAAAUACAAAUACUUUUUCGAUCCUUUCCUUAUUAAAGAUACAUCCGCGAAAUAUCUUCUCCACCGCGCUGUUCGAUCUUGGCCUUGCAACCACCUCAGGUAAACCCUCUUACCCUCCUCUUUGCAAAUUGAACUUGGAUCUUGCGACUAUGGUUUUCUUGUGACUAGGGUUGUCAUGAUCUCCUAUUAACUGAGUGCUUAUAAUGCUCUGACCUCCUUUUAACUGGGCGUUUCAAAAUUUGGGUUGUCAACAAGUUUUCAUGGAAGACGUAUGAUUUUGUGCUUUUAAAACGUAAUUUCUUGACCUUAUCAUGAAAUAUUUGGUAUCGCUAACUGAAUUUAGUAAUCAUAGUCGUGGUACUCACACAAAGUUGGGGAUAAUUUCGUUCUGUUACCUAUUGCUUUGUUCGUUAUCGGGAUUUUGCGAGAACACGUAUAUGGUCGUUAAUUUCAUCUUGUAAUCACAUAAUCAAUUUUGUUUUGUAUCUUAUCUUAUCACCCUUAAAUGAUUUCAAAUCGUGCUGUAAUUUUGUGUAGAAUCAUGAAUUGUUCUUGCGAAUCUUAUGUAGUCCACCUGUUUGUGAAAAUGUUUGUAUGAACCAAAACACGGCUAACAAGUUUUCUCGUAUGCUUUUCAGUAUAAGAUCAUGGGAAACCUAUUCUGUUUAGUUCAAGUAGAUCAGUCCACAGUAGCCAUCAAGGAAACUUUCGGAAAAUUUGAUGAUGUUCUUGAGCCAGGUUUACAUUGUGUCCCUUGGAUUUUCGGAAGUCAGGUUGCUGGACAACUCACACUAAGACUUCA
rnacentral:lncRNA from 1 species